rnacentral:lncRNA from 1 species
AAUAAUUGAUAAUAAUUAACUAGCAUAUAUUAUUUUGUUUCUGAUAAAUAUGAUUAAAUGAUUGAUGCAGUUUAACAUCAUGAUAAUUGCUUGUGCGAACAGUUCUGUUUCUGUAUUGUAAUUAUUAAAAUCUAGUAAGAAGUACUCAUCGCAAAGUCAUGGAAUUUAGGUUGUACGGAUUAAAAAAUUUGCCAUGUAUGCAAUUAUUUUAUUUUUUUUUCCUAUCUUCUCAUCAUUUUCUUGUCAGGUUAUGAAUGCGGAGAUCAAUCACUACUCGAGAGUAGGCCGCUCCAAAUACUAAACUUUAUCUUAUCAAUUGAAAUUUAAUUAAUUAAUUUAUAAAAAUUAAUGAAAUUCUCAUUAUAUAUUAAUGCUCGGCUUAGAAAUAAAUGAGCAGGCAUCUUACAUUAGGACAAAACGAUGCCGGUCAAAAUAUUAAAUCCGAAUAUUAUCUCGAGACAGAGCAUCCUUUUGUACAACUGAUCUUGAAUAACUUAAAAGCGCAGCCUGAUUGAAUCUUGUAGCUAUAAUUAAACGUACUAAUUAUUGAUCGUAUCAAGAUUUUUGAUUUCAAAUGCCUUUAUGUUUGAGAGAUAAAGACAACUAGAAAUAGGGCCAUUAAAUGAGCGAACCAUUCAUAAGUACCUUGCAUUCAACUCAAAAUCCUGCGGCUCGAAAUGGAUUCAUCCCUUCAACAACCUAGUUGAAUAUGAAUUAAGUUCUAAAUAUUGAAAAAUUAAAAAAUCAACUGUAAAUUAAAUAUGAC